CUACAAUUGCCAAGAUCCAUGCUCUAAGCAGGAAGGGAUUUGCUCAGGCUGCAAGGCUGGAUACAAAAAUUUCCACAACGCCUGCAAAGAAGCAUGUGGUUGGAAUGAGUAUGGUGAGAAUUGCAAGUUCAGCUGUAUGGAGAAGUGUGGGGCGGAUUGUGGAGAGCGAACGUUCGGAACCUGUUUAGCCUCUUUUAGUCCCUUGUAUAUUCUGAUGGUUUUAUUUCUAAUACUUCCUUUAUACACUAUGCUUCACGCCUUAACAAGGCACAAACAAUCAUUGAUAGUGGACGAACAGUCCGCUUACGCAAAGUUCUCUAGUACAACAUCUGGGACAACUUCGACUUUGACUGGUUUAAGCAAGCACAGCCCAAAAAAGCCCAGCUCAACCGAAAUUGACCCAAUUCAACCAAUCGAAACCGGAAUCCAAUAAAGCCGAACCCACACAACGCAAAUCCAGCAAAACGGAACCCAACCAACGCAAAUCCAGCAAAACGGAACCAAACCAACCCGAACCCAACCAACGCAAAUCCAGCAAAACGGAACCCAACCAACGCAAAUCCAGCAAAACGGAACCAAACCAACCUGAACCCAACCAACGCAAAUUCAGCAAAACAGAACCAAACCAACCUGAACCCAACCAACGCAAAUUCAGCAAAACGGAACCAAACCAACCCGAACCCAACCAACGCAAAUCCAGCAAAACGGAACCCAAUCAACGCAAAUCCAGCAAAACGGAACCAAAUCAACCCGAACCCAACUAAACGGAACGCAACUAACUCAACCCCAACAAAAUUGAACCCAUUCAACGUUAGUUCAGAUCUCAAGCAAGGGCAAUCUUGUGAUAGCUGAAAGAGUAGUUUCUAGGCACAAAAGGACUAUGGUAAUAAACUGGAAGAUCUCCAUAGAAACCUUGUGAGAGAUUGCACGUUCAAUGGUGACACAAAUAUAACAGUAAUUACAGUUUUAUUGGGCUGCUGACGACUGAAGUCUUAGAGAAGAAAUAGAUGCACAGCGAGUCAUUUAGUAGAGAGAAAGAAAAGAAACAAUCACACCUUCAGCUAUGCCUUAGUCUGUUGGUUCAUUGGGGCACCACUCAAGAUUUUUUGACCAUGUUUCUCCAUUUCUGUCUUUAUCCUUGGAUGUAACUUUUUUCAAUAUCAGGCCCGUUCAUUCUUUAAUGUUGUCUUCCCAUCACUUUCUCUGUCUGCCUCUUCUCCUUUUUUCCCUGGUACU
rnacentral:sRNA from 1 species